rnacentral:rRNA from 1 species
AUUGAACGCUGGCGGCAUGCCUUACACAUGCAAAUCGAACGGUAACGGGCCUUCGGGUGCCGACGAGUGGCGAACGGGUGAGUAAUACAUCGGAACGUGCCCGAUCGUGGGGGAUAACGAGGCGAAAGCUUUGCUAAUGCCGCAUACGAUCUACGGAUGAAAGCAGGGGACCGCAAGGCCUUGCGCGGACGGAGCGGCCGAUGGCAGAUUAGGUAGUUGGUGGGAUAAAAGCUUACCAAGCCGACGAUCUGUAGCUGGUCUGAGAGGAUGAUCAGCCACACUGGGACUGAGACACGGCCCAGACUCCUACGGGAGGCAGCAGUGGGGAAUUUUGGACAAUGGGCGCAAGCCUGAUCCAGCCAUGCCGCGUGCAGGAUGAAGGCCUUCGGGUUGUAAACUGAUUUUGUACGGAACGAAAAGCCUUCUUUUAAUACAGGAGGGUCAUGACGGUACCGUAAGAAUAAGCACCGGCUAACUACGUG